UGGUCAUUAUAGCGCUUCCUUCUGAUCCUAGAAAACGUACGAAAAAACUGACUGCUAAGACACCAAAAAAGGGAAUGGAAUAG